AUACUGCAUUCAUCAUGAGGACUUUGAUUCAAUCUGUUUUUCUUCAUCGGCAAUUAAAAAUGAGAAAUGUGGAAGACUAAUACUUUUAGUUGCUCUCUUAUCCUGCCCAAGCCUCAAUGAACACUAAUGUGGCAAUCAAUUUCAAGUUUGCAAAUAUAUAUAUCAACAUCAUUCAACUGUGAAUAGGGUUUCUCUACAUUUAGGAAACAAGAUUAAUCUAAAUCCGAAUUUUUCAAGAAAA
rnacentral:misc_RNA from 1 species